rnacentral:rRNA from 1 species
GAAUACAUAGCUGCUGGAAGCGAACCUGGUGAACUGAAAUAUCUAAGGAACCAGAGGAAAAGAAAUCACCCGAGAUGCCGUAAGUAGCGACGAGCGAACGCGGACUAGCCCUUAAGCUGAUUUGGUUCUAGGAAAACGCUCUGGAAAGAGCGGCCAUAGAAGGUGAUAGCCCUGUAUCUGAAAGGGCCAUUUCAGUGAAGACGAGUAGGGCGGGGCACGUGAAACCCUGUCUGAACAUGGGGGGACCAUCCUCCAAGGCUAAAUACUACUGACCGACCGAUAGUGAACCAGUACCGUGAGGGAAAGGCGAAAAGAACCCCGGAGAGGGGAGUGAAAUAGAACCUGAAACCGUGUGCGUACAAGCAGUAGGAGCUCCGCAAGGAGUGACUGCGUACCUUUUGUAUAAUGGGUCAGCGACUUACUGUUCGUGGCAAGCUUAACCGUAUAGGGGAGGCGAAGGGAAACCGAGUCUGAUAAGGGCGCAUAGUCGCGGGCAGUAG